CAUCAAAACAUUGAAUAUGUUGCAAGAAUUCAACAAGUAGCCCUCCAACAUCAUGAAGAAACAUUUGGAAGAUUAGAGAGGAAAAUGGGUAAUUAAGAUGCACAAGUGGAAAAAUUAUGUGAGAGCAACUAUCCGAACAAUCAAAUAAAAAUGGUAGCCGAGUUAAGAAGUAAGAAUAUACUGACACCAUUGGAAGCAAAAAAGAGAAAAACUGAAACUGUUGAAACACACAAAGAAAGUGAAGAGGUGAACCCACGAGAAAAAGAGAAUGAUAAUGCUAUAAUAUCUGAAACACUCAUUGAUAAAGAUUCACCCUAAGGAAAAAUAGACGACAAAUACUAGAAGAAAGUAAGAAUCUUGACAACAUCUCAUAAUACAUCAAGUUAUCAUACCCGUAUCUCAAGAAGAAUGAGAAGCAUGAUACAUAGUUUAAAUUUUUUAUGGGGUUGCUUACUAGACUUCAAAUCAACAUAUCUUUGGCUAAAGCUCUUGAGAAGAUGCUAUGUAAAGUUUAUGAAAUAAAAAGAGGAAGUUCAAGGGUGAAGAAUCUAUUGCUCUAACCAAAAGUUGAAGUUCUAUCUUUUCAAGACGGUUACCUCCAGAGAAAAAAGACCCAGUAAAUUCCAACUCUUUUGAGAAACUAUCCAUAUAGGAAAAGCUUUGUGUGAUCAAGGUGAAAAAAUUAACUUGAUACCAUUAUCGAUUCUAAGAAAUAUCGAAAGAGUUGAGGUGAAGCCAUUAAGCGUUAUUCUAAGAUUUGGAAAUAAAACAACUAAACAUUCAUAUGAGUAGUAGUGGAGGACGUGAUGGUGCAAGUAGACAAGCUUUCCAUUCUAUCAAACUUCGUGAAAUUUGAGAUUCAAAGGAAUAUUGAUUUGCAGCGUGUCUCAUUAUUCUAUAAGAUGUGAGACCACAAAUUCUAAAAGCUUUCCGAGGGAAAGAUACGAACUUUGAAUUUUCUACGAUCUAUGCCAAAUUCAUGAAAUUCGUACCAAAUAAGAGGAAG
rnacentral:lncRNA from 1 species